GGAGGGCGAGGGAAGCGCGUUCAGGGCAGGCGGAAGAAGUUCGAGAAGUCCCUCAGGGUGCGUGCAGUACAGGUGGUGAUGCUUUUAGGUGCAGCCCAUCCCCCUGGGCUAAGGAAGCCGCGUAGAAAACGAGGAAAAUGAUUGACAAACAAAAGAGUCUGGCCCGUUGGCACUCAUUUUCUUCUGGCAUUUCCAGGGUUCUGACAAGAGGGCUCCAGAGACACGACGGAGGCGUGCUCCGAAUCAACGUCAGCACCCACGUGCACAAACUUCCUCCAACUGCUUCCUUGUUUCCCAGGCUCCUCUUAACUUCAGUUACUGUAUUUUUGGUUCCAGA